AGAACGAACGCUGGCGGCAUGCCUAAUACAUGCAAGUCGAACGAACACUUCGGUGUUAGUGGCGCACGGGUGCGUAACGCGUGGGAAUCUGCCCUUGGGUUCGGAAUAACAGUUGGAAACGACUGCUAAUACCGGAUGAUAUCGAAAGAUCAAAGAUUUAUCGCCCAGGGAUGAGCCCGCGUAGGAUUAGCUAGUUGGUGAGGUAAAGGCUCACCAAGGCGACGAUCCUUAGCUGGUCUGAGAGGAUGAUCAGCCACACUGGGACUGAGACACGGCCCAGACUCCUACGGGAGGCAGCAGUAGGGAAUAUUGGACAAGUGGGCGCAAGCCUGAUCCAGCAAUGCCGCGUGAGUGAUGAAGCCUUAGGGUGUAAAGCUCUUUACCGAGAUGAUAAUGACAGUAUCGGAAGAAUAAGCCCCGACUAACUCCGUGCCAGCACGCGUC
rnacentral:rRNA from 1 species